rnacentral:lncRNA from 10 species
GUUAUACAAUUCAAUAUUGAAGCGAGAGAUUCUCCAGAACUUGCCCAGAAGCCAAGACGUCUGGAAAGGAUCUCAGCCUCUGUCAGCCUGCAGCUUGGGAAGAGUGAUUCACAGAGCCUGACUGUCCACUGCUGCUAAACCAUACACUGGCCUUGGCUCACACAUCUGACUGAACUGUCUCCUAUGACUAACUGCCUCUCUUUCUUCAGCCUUGCAAGUUUCCUGGGAGUCCUGGGAGUGGACUUCACAUAUAAAAGGGGACUCUGGGAGACCUAGUUCCUGGCUUCUCUUCUGGAAGUCAGGGAAGAGUAUAGGAAGGAGUGGCCACAGUGCCCAACUGACAAUUGACAAUUUCACCAAAGAUCAUCAUUGACCCUGACAAGACUCAUUUCGGUAUAUAAUAUGGGAAAAGAAACCAGACUGCAACAGGCUGAGAAUGACCCAGGGAAGAGAAAACGGAGAAAUUAACUGCAGCUGAGUUUCUGGAGGACUGCAAUUUAGUAUGUUCAAAGAAUAGUCCAAGAAGCCGCUCCGGACCCUCAGCAUUAAGACGAAGGAGGGGGCAAACAGGUGAGAAAAUCGAGGCAACAAGAGGUUGGUUAACGUGCCCAAGAUCAGAUCGCACAGCGGUAUAAUAGGAUGGAAAACUCCUAUCACAUAAUGAACGUUAAGUGAAAAAAAUUAGUAUCCAAAACUGUAAGUCUGAUGUCUCAUUCUUUUUAUAAUUUAAGUAGUUUAUAAAUACCCUCAUUAUUAGCCAUAUUUCUGAGCACUUCAUAUGUAGAGUGCAC